rfam:Archaeoglobus veneficus SNP6, complete genome.
GCCGGGGUUGCCGAGUGGUAAGGCGCACGCCUGGAGAGCGUGUGGGCUCUGCCCGCGUGGGUUCGAAUCCCACCCCCGGCG